CCUACGGGAGGCAGCAGUGAGGAAUAUUGGUCAAUGGACGAGAGUCUGAACCAGCCAAGUAGCGUGAAGGAUGACUGCCCUAUGGGUUGUAAACUUCUUUUAUAUGGGAAUAAAACGUUCCACGUGUGGGAUUUUGUAUGUACCAUAUGAAUAAGGAUCGGCUAACUCCGUGCCAGCAGCCGCGGUAAUACGGAGGAUCCGAGCGUUAUCCGGAUUUAUUGGGUUUAAAGGGAGCGUAGGUGGAUUGUUAAGUCAGUUGUGAAAGUUUGCGGCUCAACCGUAAAAUUGCAGUUGAAACUGGCAGUCUUGAGUACAGUAGAGGUGGGCGGAAUUCGUGGUGUAGCGGUGAAAUGCUUAGAUAUCACGAAGAACUCCGAUUGCGAAGGCAGUUCACUGGACUGCAACUGACGCUGAGGCUCGAAAGUGUGGGUAUCAAACAGGAUUAGAUACCCGUGUAGUC
rnacentral:rRNA from 1 species